AUAAAAAAGACCCUUUCAUGAGAAAGGGCCUUGAACUCUAUUGCAAUCCU
rnacentral:sRNA from 1 species